rnacentral:rRNA from 1 species
UGCCAGCAGCCGCGGUAAGACGGAGGGUGCAAACGUUGUUCGGAAUCAUUGGGCAUAAAGGGCACGCAGGCGGCCCAGUCAGUCAGUUGUGAAAGCCCACGGCUCCACCGUGGAACUGCAUCUGAUACUGCUGGGCUAGAGAAUGGUUGGGGUGAGUGGAACUCCUGGUGGAGCGGUGAAAUGCGUAGAUAUCAGGAGGAACACCAGUGGCGAAGGCGGCUCACUGGACCAUUACUGACGCUGAGGUGCGAAAGCUAGGGUAGCAAACAGGAUUAGAUA